UGGGGAAUUUUGGACAAUGGGCGAAAGCCUGAUCCAGCAAUGCCGCGUGUGUGAAGAAGGCCUUCGGGUUGUAAAGCACUUUUGUCCGGAAAGAAAUCCUUGGCUCUAAUACAGUCGGGGGAUGACGGUACCGGAAGAAUAAGCACCGGCUAACUACGUGCCAGCAGCCGCGGUAAUACGUAGGGUGCAAGCGUUAAUCGGAAUUACUGGGCGUAAAGCGUGCGCAGGCGGUUUGCUAAGACCGAUGUGAAAUCCCCCGGCUCAACCUGGGAACUGCAUUGGUGACUGGCAGGCUAGAGUAUGGCAGAGGGGGGUAGAAUUCCACGUGUAGCAGUGAAAUGCGUAGAGAUGUGGAGGAAUACCGAUGGCGAAGGCAGCCCCCUGGGCCAAUACUGACGCUCAUGCACGAAAGCGUGGGGAGCAAACAGGAUUAGAUACCCUGAUAGUCCACGCCCUAAACGAUGUCAACUAGUUGUUGGGGAUUCAUUUCCUUAGUAACGUAGCUAACGCGUGAAGUUGACCGCCUGGGGAGUACGGUCGCAAGAUUAAAACUUAAAGGAAUUGAC
rnacentral:rRNA from 1 species